CGUUAUACGAGCAGCCGAUGUCUGAUUAGCUAGUUGGUGAGGUAAAAGCUCACCAAGGCGACGAUCAGUAGCGGGUCUGAGAGGAUGAUCCGCCACACUGGGACUGAGACACGGCCCAGACUCCUACGGGAGGCAGCAGUGGGGAAUUUUGGACAAUGGGGGCAACCCUGAUCCAGCCAUGCCGCGUGUCUGAAGAAGGCCUUCGGGUUGUAAAGGACUUUUGUCNGGGAGNAAAUCCCGCUGGUUAAUACCCNGNGGGGAUGACAGUACCNGAAGAAUAAGCACCGGCUAACUACGUGCCAGCAGCCGCGGUAAUACGUAGGGUGCNAGCGUUAAUCGGAAUUACUGGGCGUAAAGCGUGCGCAGGCGGUUGUGCAAGUCUGAUGUGAAAGCCCCGGGCUUAACCUGGNAA
rnacentral:rRNA from 1 species